AUACGACUGUCGGCAACGGAUAUCUAGGCUCUCGCAUCGAUGAAGAACGUAGCAAAAUGCGAUACUUGGUGUGAAUUGCAGAAUCCCGUGAAUCAUCGAGUUUUUGAACGCAAGUUGCGCCCGAGGCCACC
rnacentral:rRNA from 1 species